CUUGGAUGCAUUAUUUUCAAGUUAUACUACAACGGAGAUAUAUGAACAUACUGAUAUGCCGUGACUGGGAAUCAAUAAGACACCAGGGUUGGGGUACCCCCUUUUUCCUGUUGUAUCUAAUACACAUUUUUUUCUAAAACAAUCUUAUCGAAAACACAACCCUACUUUUGGGGACAGGUUGCACGUGUCUGCCCUUUUCUCUAAUUUCCUAUGAAUUAAAAAUCACCGAACAAUUUAAAUGAAGAAUCGUGCAUAAUCAUAUAAAGCAAUAAUGAUUGGCCCGACUAUUUACCUUACAUGAAAUUCAUAGGCAGAACUACAAAAGAGAGAAUCAUCCCCCCUCCUACCCAAAUUCCUUUAGAAUAUUAGAAUAAAAAGAAUCUGAAUCAAAUGUAUAGUUAUUUUGUAUUUUUUUUUUUUUUUUAUUAGAAUGAGUUCUUUUUCAUAGAACGAUGUUAGACAAUAUAAUUAUUUUAAAACAACUCGUGCUUUAUUUAAAACCUUCAAAACGGAUGCUAUAUCUCCAUCAUUAUAUUUAUGGCCGGACAAUUAGCAAAAAACCGUAAAAAUGCUAUUUGUCCGGCUUGCCGGAUGAAUAGACAUUUUUGACUAUUUGUCCGGCUAGCCGGAUGAAUAGCCACUGCCUAUUUUUAUACAUAUUCUUGUUUGCAAUUUGUUUAUAGUAUAAAGAAAAACUAAUACCGAUAUAGGAUAUGUAUUCUAUGUUUCCAUCUAAGCUUUGGCAAGAAGUUCAAUGUAAUUCUUAGCGAACAAAUGAUGGUCCAGAGUAGUUUCAUGAUAAUGAGCAAUUUUAUUCUUGUCACCAAGCUAUUUAAUCAUUGCAUAUUAUUAGCCAAUAUGUCAUCAAUAAAUAUUUUGAUAUGAGCGUCACUGAUGAGUCGUAUGUAGACGAAACGCGCGUCUGGCGUACUAAUAUAUAAAUCCUGGUACCUUUGAUAACUAUAUUAUGGUAUCAGUCCUAAUGCUCAUUAUAGUGACCUAUAGUAGACGUUUUCAAGAUUGUUGUCACUUCUUUUAGUUGUAAAAUCUUGCAAUAAAGAGACUUUUUUAUAUAGAUUAGACCGUUGUUUUUCCCGUUUGAAUGGUUUUACACUAGUAAUUGUUGGUGCCCUUUAUAUCUUGUUGAUAGGUGUGAGCCUAGUCUCUGUGUUGAAGACCGAACAUUCACCUAUAAUAAUUUACUUUUAUAAAUUGUGAUUUGGAUGGAGAGUUGUCUCAUUGGAACUCAUACCACGUCUUCCUGUAUCUAUACACAUACUCUGAGUAAAAGAGAGGAAACAGAUACUUAAAGAUUAUCAAAACUCAUAAGUCGGAAAUAAAAUGACAAUAUCGUGACAAGGAACAAAAAAA
rnacentral:lncRNA from 1 species